GACGAACCGUGCGAACGUUGUUCGGAAUCACUGGGCUUAAAGGGCGCGUAGGCGGGUCGCCAAGUUUGGGGUGAAAUCCUCCGGCUCAACCGGAGAACUGCCUCAAAUACUGGCGAUCUCGAGGGGGAUAGGGGCAUGCGGAACUACGGGUGGAGCGGUGAAAUGCGUUGAUAUCCGUAGGAACUCCGGUGGCGAAGGCGGCGUGCUGGAUCCCUUCUGACGCUGAGGCGCGAAAGCCAGGGGAGCAAACGGG
rnacentral:rRNA from 1 species